rnacentral:rRNA from 1 species
AUUGAACGCUGGCGGCAUGCCUUACACAUGCAAGUCGAACGGUAACGGGCCUUCGGGUGCCGACGAGUGGCGAACGGGUGCGUAAUACAUCGGAACGUGCCCGAUCGUGGGGGAUAACGAGGCGAAAGCUUUGCUAAUACCGCAUACGAUCUACGGAUGAAAGCAGGGGACCGCAAGGCCUUGCGCGGACGGAGCGGCCGAUGGCAGAUUAGGUAGUUGGUGGGAUAAAGGCUUACCAAGCCGACGAUCUGUAGCUGGUCUGAGAGGAUGAUCAGCCACACUGGGACUGAGACACGGCCCAGACUCCUACGGGAGGCAGCAGUGGGGAAUUUUGGACAAUGGGCGCAAGCCUGAUCCAGCCAUGCCGCGUGCAGGAUGAAGGCCUUCGGGUUGUAAACUGCUUUUGUACGGAACGAAAAGCCUUCUUUUAAUACAGGAGGGUCAUGACGGUACCGUAAGAAUAAGCACCGGCUAACUACGUG